rnacentral:SRP_RNA from 1 species
CCGCAACGAUUACCCGUCAACCUGGUCAGGUCCGGAAGGAAGCAGCCACAGCGGGAACAUUGUGUGCCGGGGUGUGGCUGGCGGGG